GGCCGCGUGGCUCAGUUGGCAGAGCAUUGGGCUAGUAUUCCAAAGGUCGUAGGUUCGAUUCCCACCGUGGCCG